rnacentral:rRNA from 1 species
AAGCUUGCUUCCUGAUUCAGCGGCGGACGGGUGAGUAAUGCCUAGGAAUCUGCCUGGUAGUGGGGGACAACGUUUCGAAAGGAACGCUAAUACCGCAUACGUCCUACGGGAGAAAGCAGGGGACCUUCGGGCCUUGCGCUAUCAGAUGAGCCUAGGUCGGAUUAGCUAGUUGGUGAGGUAAUGGCUCACCAAGGCGACGAUCCGUAACUGGUCUGAGAGGAUGAUCAGUCACACUGGAACUGAGACACGGUCCAGACUCCUACGGGAGGCAGCAGUGGGGAAUAUUGGACAAUGGGCGAAAGCCUGAUCCAGCCAUGCCGCGUGUGUGAAGAAGGUCUUCGGAUUGUAAAGCACUUUAAGUUGGGAGGAAGGGCAGUCAGCGAAUACCUUGCUGUCUUGACGUUACCGACAGAAUAAGCACCGGCUAACUCUGUGCCAGCAGCCGCGGUAAUACAGAGGGUGCAAGCGUUAAUCGGAAUUACUGGGCGUAAAGCGCGCGUAGG